rnacentral:tRNA from 1 species
GCGGUCGUGGCGGAAUGGAAGACGCGCUAGGUUGAGGGCCUAGUGGGAGAAAUCCCGUGGAGGUUCAAGUCCUCUCGGCCGCA